CCUACGGGAGGCAGCAGUCGAGAAUUAUUCACAAUGGGGGAAACCCUGAUGGUGCGACGCCGCGUGGGGGAAUGAAGGUCUUCGGAUUGUAAACCCCUUUCAUGUGGGAGCAAAUUAAAAAGAUAGUACCACAAGGGGAAGAGACGGCUAACUCGCUGCGAGCAACCGCGGUAAUGCAGAGGUCUCAAUCGGUGUUCGGAAUCACUGGGCGUAAUGCGUGCGUAGGCUGGGUCGUAAGUGGUGUGUGAAAGGCGCGGGCUCAACCCCCGGACGGCACAUGAUACUGCGAGACUAGAGUAAUGGAGGGGGAACCGGAAUGCGCGGUGUAGCAGUGAAAUGCGUAGAUAUCGCGAGGAACACUCGUGGCGAAGGCGGGUUCCUGGACAUUAACUGACGCUGAGGCACGAAGGCGAGGGGAGCGAACGGGAUUAGAUACCCCAGUAGUC
rnacentral:rRNA from 1 species